AUUAAAGUAAUUAAUAAAGUUAUAUUAUUAAUAGUUAAAGUCUUUAAAAUAAAAAAAUUUGGCGGUAAUUUAUUCAAUUUAGAGGAACCUGUUUUAUAAUUGAUAAUCCACGAUUUAAAAUACUUACAAUAUUAAUUUGUAUAUCGUUGUUUAAAGUAUUUUUAAAGAAUUAAUAUUUUUUUUAUAUAAAUCUAUAAUAAUUCAAAUCAAGGUGCAGUUUAUUUGUAAGUAAUAAUGGGUUACAAUAUUAUUUAAGGUGGAUUUAUUAAUUUUAAAUUUUUAUGAAAAUGGAUUUAAUAGUAAUUUUAUUAAGUUUAUUAAAAUGAAUAUGUUUUAAAUUAUGC
rnacentral:rRNA from 1 species